AAAUGGUUUUUGCGGAGAUCAUAGACAAGUUUUUCGCUAAAAGAAAAAUUUUUUGUCGGAAAAUAUGUAUC
rnacentral:tRNA from 1 species